GAAUCAACUAGCCCUGAAAAUGGAUGGCGCUCAAGCGUCGUACCUAUACUCGCUGUGUGUGGAAGAAAGCGAGCGAAGCGAGCAUUCGUGCUUGUUGCGUCUCAAACUACAUGUAGCCACACACAAGUAGGUGGGCGUGGAGGUGUUUGCGUGAGAGCAAUCUUUUGAACAAGCCGUGGAAGCCUGUGGCGUGAGCCUGGGUGGAGGGGCCUCCAGUGCAGAUCUUGGUGACAGUAGCAACGAUUCAAAUGAGAGCUUUGAAGACUGAAGUGGAGCAAGGUUCCGUGGGAACAGCAGUUGGCCACGGGUGAGUCGGUCCUAAGAGAUGGGGCAGUCCUGUGUCAAGUGGGGAGUUGUUGCGUGUGUGUGGGUGGUGGUGAUAUUAUCGCCAUGCUUGCACACGUGUUGAUUACCCCAGUCCAUCGAAAGGGAACCAGGUUAAGAUUCCUGGACCAACGCACGCCACAAAGAAUGUUUUGAUAGAGCAGCGGCAACGCGUACAAACUCGGAGACGCUGCCGGGGGCCCUGGAAAGAGUUUUCUUUUCUUUUUAACGAGCCGCAUUGUGGGGGGGAAUAGGGGGAAUAGUGUUAGUUUAUUCUGCGCUCUUCAACCUUCCUCCUCGCAUUCUCUGACCCUGGAAUCAGUUUGGCUGGAGAUGGGGUGAGAGGCUCGGCAAAGCACCACUGACCUCUUUUUGUUGUGGUGUCCGGCGCGUUCCCGGCGGUCCAUGAAAAUCCGAGGGUGUGAAUGGUAGCAGUGUGGGGGGAAGAAGAGAAGCACUUGUGCUAAUCUAUUUUCUCCGCUGCAUGUGGGCAUGGUUGGCCGUACUGAUAACCGCAGCAGGUCUCCAAGGUGAAGAGCCUCUAGUUUGAUAGACGAAUGUAGGUAAGGGAAGUCGGCAAAAUAGAUCCGUAAGCUCGCGAUAAGGAUUGGCUCAAGAGGUUGAUUGUGUGUGUGGGGGGUGGCGGUGAAAGGGGGUGUGUGUGUGUUUUCAUACACGCUUCCAUUGGCACUCUUACUGUCUGCGCACACUAUUUUUUAGCAACCGAUCUUGAACUGGUACGGACAAGGGGAAUCCGACUGUUUACUUAAAACAAAGCAUUGCGAGGAUAGGCUGUUGCGACGGUGUAGACGCAAUGUGAUUUCUGCCCAGUGCUCAGAAUGUCAACGUGAAGAAAUUCAAGCCAAGCGCGGGAUCAACGGCGGAAGUAACUAUGACUUUCUUAAGGUAGCCAAAUGCCUCGUCAUUUAACUGGUGACGCGCAUGAAUGGAUUAACGAGAUUCCCACUGUCCCUAUCUACGCUCUAGCGAAACCGCAGCCAAGGGAACGGACUUGGCACAAUCAGCGGGGAAAGAAGACCCGCUAGAGCUUGACUCUAGUCCGACCGUGUGAAAAGACACCAGAGGUGUAGCAUAGGUGGGAGCAGGUGUGGGUUUACUUGUGCUUGCGGCCUUGAAAUACCACUACUCUGGUCGUUUUUUUGCUUAUUGAAUGACACGGGGCUGGUGUGGGUGAUUGUGGUGUGCGUAGCGCGCAUUUCUUGUGUGAGCUGUGCGCACCCGAUCACACAUGUGCACCAUUUCUGGAGAAAGGGAGGGCAGCGUGGAGUGUUUGUGCACUUUAUGUUAUGCCGAUCCCGACCCGCUUUCAAGACGAGGUCAGGUGGGGAGUUUGGCUGGGGCGGCACAUCUGUAAAACGAUAACGCAGGUGUCCCAAGGUGAGCUCAAUGAGAACGGAAAUCUCAUGUGGAGUAAAAGGACAAAAGCUCACUUGAUUUUGUGAUUUUCAGGAUGAAUACAAACUGUGAAAGCAUGGCCUAUCGAUCCUUUAGUCGCGGCGGAUAAGAGUGAACAACGCACUCGUGCGUCUAAGCUCCCAUUCUGCACUGCGCCUGUUGACAGCUUCAACCUAGAGGUGUCCGAAAAGUUACCGGCGGGAUAACUGGCUUGUGGCAGCCAAGCGUUCAUAGCGACGUUGCUUUUUGAUCCUUCGAUGUCGACUCUUCCUAUCAUUGUGAAGCAGAAUUCACCAAGUGUUGGAUUGUUCACCCACUAAUAGGGAACGUGAGUUGGGUUUAGACCGUCGUGAGACAGGUUAGUUUUACCCUACUGAUGAUAUUUAUGACUUACACAGUUGUGAUAGUAAUUCAACUCAGUACGAGAGGAACCGUUGAUUCGGAUAGUUGGUUCAUGCGGUUGGCUGAGGAGCCAGGGCCGCGACGCUAUCAUCCGUAGGAUUAUGACUGAACGCCUCUAAGUCAGAAUCCAUGCUAGAUUUGCGCAGCUGUACUGUUGCUGGUGGUGGCAUGUAAAAGUGUUGCUGCCAGUGGUUUUUGGUUUCUCUUCGAGAUUUGAUGGUGGUGGUGUGUUGUGGUGCCUCGUGUGCUGCAGUGCACUGUCAUUUAUUGUAAUAGCAGGCGAA
rnacentral:rRNA from 1 species